GCACGUAUAGAUUCCGUUAUUAGUGCAGUCUCGAAUGGAGGAAGGAGCUUACGAGAAACAGCGCCCGAGAGAGGCACUCAUGAGCUGAAAAACGGAAAAGAUGAUAACCACGCUGGGCGAGCUCGGCCGCCAUCAUGCUCUAGUUUCCCCUUCGUCUCUCUGGGUCGGCGACCGAGGAAGCGGCCUCUGGGAUGCUGAGGGGGUGUGUCCCCUCAUGAUUGGCGCAGGCCUCUCAGCCAACCCCAGCUCGGCAAACGGGAAGCACUUAGCCAAUGAGGGGAGGCGGCAGCGGCGAGGACUUAAGAGAGGCGGAACAGCAGUUUGACUGGCACGAAAGUUAGCCAGUGAACUGCAGAGGCAUCCUGCCUGCGGCCAAUGAGCCUCCCUGCGACAUCGCCUCCACAGCUUGCGGAGAAGCGGAGACCGCGGUCACCGCUGGGCUUCACAGCGGAACGACGACACUCGGAGCCGGCGCGGCUCAGCGGGUUUUGGCUCUUUGCACUGAAUGUAACCUAGACUGAUCGUCUCAGGCUUGUGUUGCCCCAGGAUACUGUCUAAGGCAGUGUCUGUGUUUCUGCAAAGUUUUGCACAGAGUCUGUUCCCAUGCAAACCAAUGAGGGAGAAGUAGAGGAAGAAAGCAGUUCCAAGGUGGAACAGGAGGAUUUUGUAAUGGAAGGACAUGGCAAGACUCCACCUCCUGGAGAAGAAAACAAACA